UACGUAGGUGGCAAGCGUUGUCCGGAAUCACUGGGCGUAAAGGGCGCGUAGGCGGCGCGGGGAGUCAACGGUGAAAGCUCGGCGCUCAACGCCGAGUCGGCCGUCGAUACUCCCGUGCUUGAGCACUGUAGAGGCAGGUGGAAUUCCGGGUGUAGCGGUGGAAUGCGUAGAGAUCCGGAAGAACACCGGUGGCGAAGGCGGCCUGCUGGGCAGUAGCUGACGCUGAGGCGCGACAGCGUGGGGAGCAA
rnacentral:rRNA from 1 species